rnacentral:rRNA from 1 species
GUAGUCAUAUGCUUGUCUCAAAGAUUAAGCCAUGCAUGUCUAAGUAUAAGCAAUUAUACCGUGAAACUGCGAAUGGCUCAUUAAAUCAGUUAUCGUUUAUUUGAUAGUACCUUACUACUUGGAUAACCGUGGUAAUUCUAGAGCUAAUACAUGCUGAAAACCCCAACUUCGGAAGGGGUGUAUUUAUUAGAUAAAAAACCAAUGCCCUUCGGGGCUCCUUGGUGAUUCAUAAUAACUUCUCAGAUCGCAUGGCCUUGCGCCGGCGACGGUUCAUUCAAAUUUCUGCCCUAUCAACUUUCGAUGGUAAGGUAUUGGCUUACCAUGGUUUCAACGGGUAACGGGGAAUUAGGGUUCGAUUCCGGAGAGGGAGCCUGAGAAACGGCUACCACAUCCAAGGAAGGCAGCAGGCGCGCAAAUUACCCAAUCCCGACACGGGGAGGUAGUGACAAUAAAUACUGAUACAGGGCUCUUUUGGGUCUUGUAAUUGGAAUGAGUACAAUUUAAACCUCUUAACGAGGAACAAUUGGGGGCAAGUCUGGUGCCCGCAGCC